AAUGAACGCUGGCGGCAUGCCUAAUACAUGCAAGUCGAGCGGACGCACCAGAAGCUUGCUCCUCUGAUUUUAGCGCCGGACGGGUGAUUACCACUUGGAUAGCCUACCUAUAAGACUGGUAUAACUUCGUGAAACCGGACCUAAUACCGGAUGAUUUUUUGAACUGCAUGCUUCAAGAGUGAAAUACGGUCUUUCUGUCACUUAUAGCUCGACCCGCGCUGCAUUAGCUGGUUGUUCAGGUAACUGCUUACCAACGCAAGUAUGCAUAUCCGACCUGAGAGCGAGGACGACUACAUGGGAACAGAGAAUCGGUCCAGACACCUACGGGAGGCAGCAGUAGGGAAUCUUACGCAAUGGGCGAGAGCCGGACGGAGCAACACCGCGGGAGGGAUGAAGGUCUUAGGAUCGGAAAACUCUGUUAUUAGGGAAGAACAAAUGUGUUAGUAACUGUGCACAUCUUGACGGUACCUAAUCAGAAAGCCCCGGCUAACUACGUG
rnacentral:rRNA from 1 species